rfam:Hanseniaspora uvarum DSM 2768 Contig_181, whole genome shotgun sequence.
UUGGGGUUUACUCCAUUUGUUGAUCCAGGAUUUUUACUUUGAAAAAAUUAGAGUGUUCAAAGCAGGCGUUUUGCUCGAAUAUAUUAGCAUGGAAUAAUAGAAUAGGACGAUUGGUUCUAUUUUGUUGGUUUCUAGGACCAUCGUAAUGAUUAAUAGGGACGGUCGGGGGCAUCAGUAUUCAGUUGUCAGAGGUGAAAUUCUUGGAUUUACUGAAGACUAACUACUGCGAAAGCAUUUGUCAAGGACGUUUUCAUUAAUCAAGAACGAAAGUUAGGGGAUCGAAGAUGAUCAGAUACCGUCGUAGUCUUAACCAUAAACUAUGCCGACUAGGGAUCGGGCGGUGCCUUUUAUUGGCCCACUCGGCACCUUACGAGAAAUCAAAGUUUUUGGGUUCUGGGGGGAGUAUGGUCGCAAGGCUGAAACUUAAAGGAAUUGACGGAAGGGCACCACCAGGAGUGGAGCCUGCGGCUUAAUUUGACUCAACACGGGGAAACUCACCAGGUCCAGACACAAUAAGGAUUGACAGAUUGAGAGCUCUUUCUUGAUUUUGUGGGUGGUGGUGCAUGGCCGUUCUUAGUUGGUGGAGUGAUUUGUCUGCUUAAUUGCGAUAACGAACGAGACCUUAGCCCUUAAAUAGAGUUGCUGGCAUUUGCUGGUAAAUCUUCUUAUGGGGACUAUCGAUUUCAAGUCGAUGGAAGUUUGAGGCAAUAACAGGUCUGUGAUGCCCUUAGACGUUCUGGGCCGCACGCGCGCUACACUGACGGAGCCAGCGAGCUUUUCCUUAGCCGAGAGGUUUGGGUAAUCUUGUGAAACUCCGUCGUGCUGGGGAUAGAGCAUUGUAAUUAUUGCUCUUCAACGAGGAAUUCCUAGUAAGCGCAAGUCAUCAGCUUGCGUUGAUUACGUCCCUGCCCUUUGUACACACCGCCCGUCGCUAGUACCGAUUGAAUGGCUUAGUGAGGCUUCAGGAUUUGCUUAGAUCGAGGGGCAACUCUCUUUCAGAGCGGAGAAUCUAGUCAAACUUGGUCAUUUAGAGGAACUAAAAGUCGUAACAAGGUUUCCGUAGGUGAACCUGCGGAAGGAUCAUUA